rnacentral:rRNA from 1 species
AUGCGCACCCCAUGUUGGUGCUGCUUCUCCUGGCGCCACUGCCGUCGCCUCCUUCCUCCGCCAAUGGCAGUGCCGCUCCACCCCAACCCAAGCGGCUCCUGCGCACAGGCGGGGGCGCCGCGUCGGUUCCGUCGCCCGCCCCGCCUCCAUGGCCGCGUGCUCGCGGCCCCCGGUCGCCGUGGCCUCGAGCACCCUGCUGCCUUCGCCAUGCUCGGCCGGCUCUGCCUCCGCCCGCCUGCCAAGUCGCAAGCGCCCCGGGCUGUACGACCGCCUCUCCUCGCGUGGUCCCCUCCCCAACGCCUGAGCUAUCCUUCGGUCGCCCGUCCGGCUGCUCGCCCCGGCCGCGUCGCUCCCAGUGACUCGCGCCGGCCCGCCCUGCCCUCUUCAUUGCGCCCGAUCCGCUCCAACGCGCGUGCGGCUCCGCUCCGCAGUCGUGCGCCCCAGCGCCCGCGCGCACCCGGCCGGUUGCUCCUUCACCCCGACCGCAAGCCGGGUCCGCCCGCGACCGCCUGUUCCGCCCCGCCUUCGGCUCCCCUACGGCCAUCCAGCCGCGCCCGCACCAGGUGCUCCACCUCUCGCGCAUCGGCCCCGCUGUUUGCCGCCGGCCAGCCGGGUCCGCCUCCACGCGCCACCCCGGACCGGCUCCUGCGCUGCGCCGCUCCGCCUCCCCGUGCUCCCGCCGGCUCCGCUGCACCACCUCGGGCGCCGGCUCUGCCUCGCCCGGCCGGCUCCGCCUCGCCGAGCCAUCUCCACCGCCUGCGGCCGGGUGGUCCGCCCCCACCGACUCCGCCCCGCCACACCACUGCUCCGAACCCUGUGCCUCCGCGCGCGCCGUCCGGCUGCGCCCCUCCUGCUCCGGCACCAUGCUCGUCUCCUACGGUCGACCCCAGCACCGCGCUCGCAACUCCCCAUCUCCGCGCGCCCACGGCUCUACCGGCUUCCGCCGCUGCCGCCUACUCGGUCGACGCCGCGCGCUCACCCUGCUCCGGGCCGGCUACCGCCCUCCUACCACCGGCUUCCGCCGCUGCCGACUCGCCGCUGCAACCGACUUCGCGGCCCCGGCCUCCGCCCCGUCGCGCCUGCCGGGUCGCCGCGGCCGACCACUCCUACAACGGCCGGCUCCGGGCCCCGCCGGCUGCCGGGUGCUCCCCUCUGCCCCCUGGUCGCCUGCGGGCUCCGCCUGCUCCGGCCGACCUCCGCCUGGAGGCUCCUCGCGUGCGCCCCGCUAUAGCCAGCUGCUCGAGCGGGCCGGCCGCCCGUGUUGCUUCGCGCCUUCGGCCCCGUCCGCUCGCUGCGCCGAAACGGCCGCUCGUGUGUGUUUGCCCGCACCACCCCAACUUCGCGGCCUCACCUCGUCCUCGCGGAGCCCGUUCCACCUUGCGCGCACUCGCGGUCAGCCGCACUAGACUCCUGUCCGGCUGGCCACCGACUCCCCUGCCGCGCCUAUGGUCGGCCGGGUCGCGCGCCUCCACUGCCGGCUCCAAGGUCGGGCGCCGUGUCCGGCUGUUCCACGCGCGCCCCUGCCGGGUCCUACCCCAGCCGCCUGUUGAGGCCGGCACCUGA